GCAGAUUUCUUCAUUUUUCUUCCUCAAUUCUUAUCCUCCCUUAAGACACGCAGCCACCAAUUCUCAGCCUUAUCAUGUUACCUUGUGGAUACUUGCUAGCAGUUUACUAGGGUUCAAAUUUACCUAUUUCAAUUAGGAUCCCAACUCAUCUUAUUUUUACACUCUAAGUUACAAUUUCUACAUAGAUGUAAAUUUAUGAGACAAUCCAACUGUAUCACACUCACAUAGAUUCAACACUUUUUUAUUUUAUUCUACCGAGCUCAGUUAUAGUCUUUGUUCUUUUUUUUCUAUUUUCUAGGUUUUAAUUUGGAUGUAAAUAGUUUGUAUCCUACAUAAUCGAUUAUUUAUCUGAAUUUAUUGGUAGAAAAUUAGAAAUCGGAUUGUUGUUAAUUUUGGUGUGGAGGAAGAGGGGAAUUGAGAUUUGGAUUUGGAUCAGGUUGUGAUUGUCUUUGCUUGCUCAGAUUUCCGGCAUGAACUUCAAGGGCUUCGGGAAUGAGGCCGCCGGCGGCGACGGCGGCGGCGGCGGAGGGAGGGCGGCGGGGAGCUUCUCCCUGGCGCGGCAGCCGUCGGUGUACUCGCUGACGUUCGACGAGUUCAUGACCAGCAUGGGAGGUUCGGGGAAGGACUUCGGGUCGAUGAACAUGGACGAGUUGCUGAAGAACAUUUGGACCGCGGAGGAGGUUCAGACAAUGGCGUCGGCGGGGGUCGCCGCCGACGACGGCGGCGCCGGAGUGAGCCACCUGCAGCGGCAGGGGUCGCUGACGCUGCCGCGGACGCUGAGCCAGAAGACCGUGGAUGAGGUUUGGAAGGACAUUUCGAAGGAGUACGGUGGGCACGGUGGGCCCCACUUGGCGCAGACGCAGCAGAGACAGCCAACGCUGGGAGAGAUGACGUUGGAGGAGUUUUUGGUCAGAGCUGGGGUUGUUAGAGAAGAUGCCAAGCCAAACGACGCCGUUUUUAUGGAUCUGGCUCGUGCAGGGAACAACAACGCUCUGGGGUUGGGGUUUCAGCAGAUGAACAAGGUUGCUGCUGCUACCGGUUUGAUGGGUAACCGGUUGAGCAAUGAUCCUCUGGUGGGUCUUCAGUCUCCUGCUAACUUGCCAUUGAAUGUUAAUGGGGUGAGAUCUUCCAAUCAGCAGCAGAUGCAGAGUCCACAGUCCCAACAGCAUCAGCAGCAGCAGCAGAUAUUUCCCAAGCAGAGUGCUAUGUCUUAUGCAGCAGCUCAGAUGCCUCAGGGAAUGGUGAGGGGUGGGAUGGUGGGGCUUGGUGGGGAUCAGGGUUUGAGUGUGCAAGGUGGAGGGAUUGGUAUGGUUGGUUUGGCACCUGGGUCUGUUCAUGUUACUACUGGCUCUCCUGCUGCGAACCAGAUGUCCGGUGAUAAGAUGGCGAAGAGCAAUGGUGAUACCUCUUCCGUGUCCCCGGUUCCUUAUGUCUUUAACGGUGGCCUGCGAGGGAGGAAGAGUGGGGGAGCGGUGGAGAAGGUGAUUGAGAGGAGGCAGAGAAGGAUGAUAAAGAAUAGAGAAUCAGCUGCCAGGUCGCGGGCUCGCAAGCAGAUUAUGCAGCAGAAUGGUAAUAUGAUAGCGAUCUGACAUGAUGAAAGGUGAAAGAUUUUGAGAAGUUACAGUCAUGAGAAGUUGUAAAGAUCCAGGUUUUUACAAGGCUUAUACCAUGGAAUUGGAAGCAGAAGUUGCUAAAUUAAAAGAGGAGAACCAAGAACUUCAGAAGAAACAGGAAGAAAUCAUGGAAAUUCAGAAAAAUCAGGCUAAGGAAAUGAUGAAUUUGCAACGAGAAGUGAAGAGAAGACGCCUAAGACGAACACAAACUGGUCCGUGGUAGAUUGAAGAUUGUACUAUGAUUGCACCAUUAAAAUAUAUGUACAUAGUUAUAAAAACGUAUUCUGCUGUAGAUUGAGGCUCUGGUAGUUUAGGGAUUAGCACUUGAUUCGACGUCUUACUUCUCUUUUGAACACAUGUUAGGGAGCGUAUGCAAUGCAUGGUACCAUGAGAAUAUGUUUCAGCACAUUUCUCGCCACCAUUGGUUAGACAAUCUUCUUGUGCAGUAGCACUUUCGCUGAAUUUGAUUCGGUGAGAGGCAUUCUAUGUCCAUUAUAUGAACUUAUCUUCAUUCGCAAUA